CGUCUUGUAGAAGUAAGAGUUGAGUUCAUCGGCAUUGGCGAUUUCGGCUUCUUGUUAGUUAUUGUCUUCUUCAUCCUAUUCGAGAGCUUCUUAACUCCAGAACAAUUUGUUUUGUAGAAUUUUGUUGUCGAGAAACUUCGAGGGACAUUUCAUUUUUGUCGUUCGAGAUACAUGAUCCAAGAGUAUGAUAACCGAUCUCUCAUCUUCGUUUGAAUUCUUCUCCUCCAUUUUUUGAACUCGCACUCCGCUUAUGUUUAGUGUUUAUUGUGUAUGUGUUUGGUGUUAGUGAGGAAAAAUUGAAGAGACAUUGUAGUUGUCCCACAUACAUAGUUUGGUUGGUGAUCUAAGGAACAAUGGAGUAAUAAGGAAGAGGUCUUGGAUUUAAUCUAGAAAACUAACAUUAACACUAAUUUUACUAACAUUUGCCUAUUAGACAAAACAUUGUAUUUGACAUCAAAGUUACUAUGUAUGUAUUUGGUGAAUCUAUGCAGUCCAAGGUCUGCGGAACAAAAUCUAAUAGUUCAUCUGUUUCAACUUCUAACAUUUUUUCCUAUAAAAACAUUAUAAUUUUCUUACAAAGAAUAAACUCAAUCAAUUACAUUGAACUAUCUAAGUGGAUUUACUUCUUCGGUUUGUUUUUAGAGAUCCU
rnacentral:lncRNA from 1 species